rnacentral:rRNA from 1 species
UACGGAGGAUGCAAGCGUUUAUCCGGAAUUAUUGGGCGUAAAGCGUCCGUAGGUGGCUAAUCAAGUCUGCUGUCAAAGCGUGGAGCUUAACUCCAUACCGGCGGUGGAAACUGAUGAGCUAGAGUGCGAUAGGGGUAGCAGGAAUUCCCAGUGUAGCGGUGAAAUGCGUAGAGAUUGGGAAGAACACCAGCGGCGAAAGCGUGCUACUGGGUCUGCACUGACACUGAGGGACGAAAGCUAGGGGAGCGAAAGGG